rnacentral:rRNA from 1 species
AUACGGAGGAUCCAAGCGUUAUCCGGAAUCAUUGGGUUUAAAGGGUCCGUAGGCGGGUUUGUAAGUCAGUGGUGAAAGUUUUCGGCUCAACCGGAAAAUUGCCAUUGAUACUGCAAGCCUUGAAUCAUUAUGAAGUGGUUAGAAUGUGUAGUGUAGCGGUGAAAUGCAUAGAUAUUACACAGAAUACCGAUUGCGAAGGCAGAUCACUAAUAAUGUUUUGACGCUAAGGGACGAAAGCGUGGGUAGCGAACAGGAUUAGAAACCCCGGUAGUCC